CAGAGUUCGUGCCCUCACGGGUAGAUCUCCCACCCUGUGUUAUUAUACCUUUGUUGCUUUGGCGGGCCGCCCUCGGCUACCGGCCCCGGCUGGUACGCGCCCGCCAGAGGACCCUAAAAUCUGAAUAUUAAUGUCGUCUGAGUACUAUAUAAUAGUUA
rnacentral:misc_RNA from 1 species